GUUUUGUAAAGGAAAAGGUGUUUAUUCUUUACUGUUUAUUUACUUUUGACUUGAGCUGCUUGAAAAGGUGUUUUAUGAUUAUGAAAAUUAAAGUGCUGUGAGUGUGCUGAAGCUGAUUUGUUAUUAGAAGGAUAUGGAGAAUCCUGGCGGGAAUGCCUUAUGACUGUUCGUUAAUUGUUUGCCUAGACCUGCAAUUUUUUCCUAGGAAGAUAUAUGUCACUCAAAACAAAUUUCUAAGAAUAUAUUACGAUUAAAUAAUUUCUUCGGAAAAGCAUUUGAGAUUAAAGAGGUGCUCUUCUGUCGUAGAGGUGAUAACGACCACAUAAGAAAAAGGCUGCGGAAAAUCAUGACCAAAUCCUGCUACGCUGUGACCGCCCUCCCCAGCCAUCUUAGAGGGAGGGGGGAGGUGUGUUUAGUGGGUAGUCUGUUUCUGUUAGUCCC